rnacentral:rRNA from 1 species
GUGAGGAAUUUUCCGCAAUGGGCGAAAGCCUGACGGAGCAAUGCCGCGUGAAGGAUGAAGGCCUAUGGGUUGUAAACUUCUUUUCUCAGAAAAGAAUUAUGACGGUAUCUGAGGAAUAAGCAUCGGCUAACUCUGUGCCAGCAGCCGCGGUAAGACAGAGGAUGCAAGCGUUAUCCGGAAUGAUUGGGCGUAAAGCGUCUGUAGGUUGUUUAAAAAGUAUUCUGUCAAAGAUUAGGGCUUAACCCUAGAUAGGCAGAAUAAACUUUUAAGCUAGAGUUUGGUAGAGGCAGAGGGAAUUCCCGGUGGAGCGGUGAAAUGCGUAGAUAUCGGGAGGAACACCAAAGGCGAAGGCACUCUGCUGGGCCAAUACUAACACUGAGAGACGAAAGCGAGGGGAGCAAAUGGGAUUAGAACCCCAGUAGUCC